GUUGUGGUGUACACUGUCAACGUCAUAGGAUACGUACUGUUAAGCCCUUCAAAUUGUUGUUUGGAAGAUACACCUAAGUUCGUUCGAUGGUUUCUUUGCAGCGUCGCGUGGCUUUACUAAGUACAAUUAUAUGAUAACCCGACUUUACCUUUUUUUUUCUACCUUUACUUUUGAGAAAAAAUCCACUGCUUCGCUCUUAAUCUAGAUAAAAGAGGCGCAGAACACUCAUAUGCCCAAGUGCCAUGGUGGUGCCAGAGAAUUCUAUUUUAAGUGCAGAUUGUGUUGGCAGUCUCAGCAAGAAGUAGGUUCGAAUAGGAUAUUGGAUCCAUUCGAGCUUCUUUCACUUAACAUCUGUCGGCUGACAAACCGGGGACAAAAUAAUCAUCCAUUGUUAAGGUUCAACAAACAUUCUGUUUAGUCAAGCUAGGCCGGACAGGGCGCGCGUGGAAGAGGCACCUCGGGAGUGAAGCUUAGAACGAGCGGAAAUGAGGUUAGGCACCCUGAGGCGAUACGACCGGAGGCCCCCAUGGGGUUCGCGGCCGCUACCGUAGUCGUCCUUCUUCGAAGUUAGCUGCUCUAUCCGUAGCCGUCGAAAGUAUAGAGGCGAAGGCAUACAUACGUUUCAACGGUGGAGAACAGAGACUGGAAGCUGACGUUUUCCUAUUACCAGUCAUUCCUAUGGUACGUACUGGAAUAGAAGGGGAGCUAUUACAAUUGCUCCAGCCGGACAAGAUCCCCUGCUCAUAGCCAAGAGUUCCCGAACGCGACGUAAUAUAGGAUUAGUCUAAUGCCUGACCAUGCUUGGUUUGCCAUUUAUGACUUUCUGCAGUCCUAACCCAUGUUCGUUAGUUCCUCAUAGCAAUGAUCCCUUGACUUGCUCUGUGACGAAUCCCUUUGUCCAUUGUAAGCAACGAUAACUGCAUGUGAAUUGGGCACAUACGAUCUGCCAUUACAUUUUUUACAGUAUAAUAAAGCUUCGUGGUGUUUUUCACCCUCGCGUGUAUACACACUACAGUCGCACGGCAAAAAACUAACACAACACAAUCGCUCGAAAAAAGCGUCCGUCGAAGAUUAGCAAUAAAAAUUUGAAUAUUAGACGGAGUCUCUUAGCUAUAUUGGAGUUAACUUUCUUCUUUUCUACAUGUGUAUGAAUGAAUUUGUAUGUAGACAAGCUUCGUACUACCGUUGUUAACUUUAGGUGCCAAACAAAUUGUUUUAACAAAAGUUAUUACGAUCCAGUAAUAUAUAUGUAUAUAUUGCGUUUAAGUAAA